CCUACCAUACACAUAUCCAUCUUGGGGUUGAGAGCAAAAUAAUGUUAUCUAUCAGCAGACAGUUAACCUGUUACUAGAGAACCAGGAAGUAUCUCGAAUUGCACUCAAUUCUGAUUGGUCACUUCAGUUGAGUACUGUGUUUUUGAAUUCAUGAUGGUGGAGUUAAGUCAGUUUAUACAUUCUUGGAAGGUAGUUUAGCAGUAUUAUCCACUAUGGAGAAUGUCUUUGUCUGAAGCCUUACUGUGUCUGGCAGUUGAUUGAACAAACAGAAAAUUACCUGCUUUCGUCAAAGCAAGUGUAAAACUCCGAAAAAAGUUAGUACAAGCCUACGUGAUUCAAUAUUUCAAGCUUGAUUUGUUCACCUGCAGAGUUCAUACUAUCUGAUCUUUUAGCAAGAAUUUUAAUUUAGCUUGCUACCAUCGGACAUGAAAAAACAUCAUUGUGGCAGCUGCUUCAAUAUACAAAGAAUGCUGGUUAAUGCAUGCUAACACACAAGGUUCUUGAGAUUAUUGUUUUAUAUACAGUAAUAAACUCUAGUGAUGCUUUAAUAUAAUAGGCCUAUAUUACGGACAAAAAUGCUGAUUUAUACAGGACUGUAAAGCGAAGGACUCUAGAAUAAGCUUGAAUUUGAGGUACAGUAUGUGUAGCAGAAGACUUAAACCAGUUUUCAAUUAAAGAAAUUAUGGUUUGUAUAUCUUAAACUCAGUGUUUUUUGUAAGUCUACAGGAGUUGAUUAAAGCCAUUGUUAUUUUACAAAAAGGAUCUGGCACCACUUGUAGACCAGUUGGAACUUGGACCAAUUGAAAACCAUUUGGAACUUGGAUCAAUUGAAGACCAGUUGGAAUUGGGACCAGUUGGAAUUGACACCAGUUGAAGACCAGUUGAAUUGUCCAAAAACACAACACUCAACUGGUUCCAGUUCCAACUGGAAUUUAAAACCAGUUGGAACUGGGACCAGUUGGAACUG